rnacentral:rRNA from 1 species
UACGGAGGGUGCAAACGUUGCUCGGAAUCAUUGGGCGUAAAGCGCACGUAGGCGGCCGAUUAAGUCAGGGGUGAAAUCCUGGAGCUCAACUCCAGAACUGCCUUUGAUACUGAGGAUCUUGAGUUCGGGAGAGGUGAGUGGAACUGCGAGUGUAGAGGUGAAAUUCGUAGAUAUUCGCAAGAACACCAGUGGCGAAGGCGGCUCACUGGCCCGAUACUGACGCUGAGGCACGAAAGCGUGGGGAGCAAACAGG